rnacentral:rRNA from 1 species
CCUACGGGAGGCAGCAGUGAGGAAUAUUGGUCAAUGGACGCAAGUCUGAACCAGCCAUGCCGCGUGCAGGAAGACGGCUCUAUGAGUUGUAAACUGCUUUUGUACGAGGGUAAAUCCCGAUACGUGUAUCUGGUUGAAAGUAUCGUACGAAUAAGGAUCGGCUAACUCCGUGCCAGCAGCCGCGGUAAUACGGAGGAUUCAAGCGUUAUCCGGAUUUAUUGGGUUUAACGGGUGCGUAGGCGGUUCGAUAAGUUAGAGGUGAAAUCCCGGGGCUCAACUCCGGCACUGCCUCUGAUACUGUCGGGCUAGAGUGUAGUAGCGGUAGGCGGAAUGUAUGGUGUAGCGGUGAAAUGCAUAGAGAUCAGACAGAACACCGAUUGCGAAGGCAGCUUACCAAACUACGACUGACGUUGAGGCACGAAAGCGUGGGGAGCAAACAGGAUUAGAUACCCCGGUAGUC